rnacentral:piRNA from 1 species
UGAAUAAUCAUGCAACUUCAA